CCUGAAAGAACUGUACUUUGCAGUGCUCACACAGAUUGUCUGAUGAAAAGUGAAAAGCAAGGCGUCUUGCGAAGCAGACUGACACGUCCCCUUCGUCUAGAGGCCCAGGACACCGCCCUUUCACGGCGGUAACAGGGGUUCGAAUCCCCUAGGGGACGCCACUUGCUGGUUUGUGAGUGAAAGUCGCCGACCACUGUAUCUCAAAACUCACUUACGAGUGAAGUUUGAGAUAUUUGCUCUUUAAAAAUCUGGAUCAAGCUGAAAAUUGAAACACUGAAUAGUCGAAAGAUUAUUCGUGAGUCUCUCAAAUUUUCGCAACACGAUGAUGAAUCGAAUGAAACAUCUUCGGGUUGUGAG
rnacentral:misc_RNA from 1 species